rnacentral:ncRNA from 2 species
UUUUCAUCAAGAGCAGUUGAGGGAUUGGCCCGAUGAAACUGCAGCAACCCCCCUUUCCAACGGGAUAGGUGCUAAUUCCUACGGUGUAUACCGGCAGAUGAACG